AAAUUGACGGGGCCCGCACAAGCGUGGAGCAUGUGGUUUAAUUCGAAGCAACGCGAAGAACCUUACCAGGUCUUGACAUCCCGAUGCUAUUUCUAGAGAUAGAAAGUUACUUCGGUACAUCGGUGACAGGUGGUGCAUGGUUGUCGUCAGCUCGUGUCGUGAGAUGUUGGGUUAAGUCCCGCAACGAGCGCAACCCCUAUUGUUAGUUGCCAUCAUUCAGUUGGGCACUCUAGCGAGACUGCCGGUAAUAAACCGGAGGAAGUGGGGAUGACGUCAAAUCAUCAUGCCCCUUAUGACCUGGGCUACACACGUGCUACAAUGGUUGGUACAACGAGUUGCGAGUCGGUGACGGCGAGCUAAUCUCUUAAAGCCAAUCUCAGUUCGGAUUGUAGGCUGCAACUCGCCUACAUGAAGUCGGAAUCGCUAGUAAUCGCGGAUCAGCACGCCGCGGUGAAUACGUUCCCGGGCCUU
rnacentral:rRNA from 1 species